AUCGAUGGCUUCUUUAAAAUGAAGCAGGAGGGUCUGGCAGAGAGUAUCUAUGAAAUAAGUUCCUCUGACCCUCACGCUUAAUUUUCUGAAUGGAGUGGAGCAAAUUACUUCAAGCUUCACAUAUGAAAUGAACCGUACAAAAAUACAAGAGUGUCAGGAGAAAGUUAUGCUCUGUGCAAAAGAUAUGAAACAUCGGCUAGGUUUCCUGCUGCAAAAAUCUGAUUCCUGUGAACACAAUUCUUCCCACAACAAGAAGGACAAAGUGAUUAUCUGCCAGAGAGUGAGCCAAGAGGAAGUCAAGAAAUGGGCUGAAUCACUGGAAAAUCUGAUUAGUCAUGAAUGUGGGCUGGCAGCUUUCAAAGCUUUCUUGAAGUCUGAAUAUAGUGAGGAGAAUAUUGACUUCUGGAUCAGCUGUGAAGAGUACAAGAAAAUCAAAUCACCAUCUAAACUAAGUCCCAAGGCCAAAAAGAUCUAUAAUGAAUUCAUCUCAGUCCAGGCAUCCAAAGAGGUGAACCUGGAUUCUUGCACCAG
rnacentral:sRNA from 1 species